UACCUCAUUGAUCGGAAGGAUUUCCUUCAGAUCAAUGAGGUACAACAACCCCAUUGACCAGAAGGAAUCCCUUCCGGUCAAUGAGGUUGUUAUACUUCAUUGACCAGAAGGAUUUCCUUCAGAUCGAUGAGGUA
rnacentral:miRNA from 1 species